rnacentral:rRNA from 1 species
GGCUUAGAGUUUGAUCAUGGCUCAGGAUGAACGCUGGCGGCGUGCUUAACACAUGCAAGUCGAGCGAAGCACUUACUUUUGAUUUCUUCGGAAUGACGAGGUCUGUGACUUAGCGGCGGACGGGUGAGUAACGCGUGGGCAACCUGCCUCACACAGGGGGAUAACAGUUAUAAAUGACUGCUAAUACCGCAUAAGACCACGGCACCGCAUGGUGCAGGGGUAAAAACUCCGGUGGUGUGAGAUGGGCCCGCGUCUGAUUAGGUAGUUGGUGCGGUAACGGCGCACCAAGCCGACGAUCAGUAGCCGACCUGAGAGGGCGACCGGCCACAUUGGGACUGAGACAUGGCCCAAACUCCUACGGGAGGCAGCAGUGGGGAAUAUUGCACAAUGGGGGAAACCCUGAUGCAGCGACGCCGCGUGAAGGAUGAAGUAUUUCGGUAUGUAAACUUCUAUCAGCAGGGAAGAAGAUGACGGUACCUGACUAAGAAGCCCCGGCUAACUACGUGCCAGCAGCCGCGGUAAUACGUAGGGGGCAAGCGUUAUCCGGAUUUACUGGGUGUAAAGGGAGCGUAGACGGCUGUGCAAGUCUGGAGUGAAAACCCGGGGCUCAACCCCGGGAUUGCUUUGGAAACUGUGUAGCUGGAGUACCGGAGAGGCAAGUG